GAUGAACGCUCGCUACAGGCUUAACACAUACAAGUCGAGGGGAAACGACAUCGAAAGCUUGCUUUUGAUGGGCGUCGACCGGCGCACGGGUGAGUAACGCGUAUCCAACCUGCCCAUCACUUGGGAAUAACCUUGCGAAAGUAAGACUAAUACCCAAUGACAUCCCACGAAGACAUCUGAAUGGGAUUAAAGAUUUAUCGGUGAUGGAUGGGGAUGCGUCUGAUUAGCUUGUUGGCGGGGUAACGGCCCACCAAGGCAACGAUCAGUAGGGGUUCUGAGAGGAAGGUCCCCCACAUGGGAACUGAGACACGGUCCAAACUCCUACGGGAGGCAGCAGUGAGGAAGAGUGGUCAAGGGGCGAGAGCCUGAACCAGCCAAGUAGCGUGCAGGAUGACGGCCCUAUGGGUUGUAAACUGCUUUUAUAAGGGAAGAAAGUGGGUCUCGGGAGACUUUUUGCAUGUACCUGAUGAAUAAGGACCGGCUAAUUCCGUG
rnacentral:rRNA from 1 species